rnacentral:rRNA from 1 species
UACGUAGGGUGCGAGCGUUGUCCGGAAUCAUUGGGCGUAAAGAGCGUGUAGGCGGUCCGGUAAGUCCGCUGUGAAAGUCGGGGGCUCAACCCUCGAAUGCCGGUGGAUACUGUCGGGCUAGAGUGCGGAAGAGGCGAGUGGAAUUCCUGGUGUAGCGGUGAAAUGCGCAGAUAUCAGGAGGAACACCUAUUGCGAAGGCAGCUCGCUGGGACGUUACUGACGCUGAGACGCGAAAGCGUGGGGAGCAAACAGG